AUGUGGUAGGCAGAAGUUGGGGGUCUGCAAUACCCAGGACCGUGCUGCACAGCAAAUUGCUCCCCAUCCUACAAAACUUGCAAAUAUCCCACCAGAUGGGAAUAUAGGUGAAAUCUGAGCCUGCAGCCUAACUCUCUUUUUCAUAGAAACAAAAAGUAUUUUUUGUACGGUUUUAAUAUGUAUUGAAUUUUCCAGAAAUGGAGCUACCAUGAAAAUUGAGGGAAAAUAGAGCUUAAUUUUUUCUGGAACUUUAAAGAAGUUUUUUCACCACAGGGGAAAAUCACAUUGUCAAGGCAACGCCACUCAUGUUGUUUGAGUCUCCAGUGAGACACGCACUGUUUCCAUCUGCAUUUGCAGCUGCCACGUUACAGACUCCUCGGUGUGAAGCUGCAAGCCUCUGAUGGUCUCCUUGUGUCUUCCAGUUCAGUAGGCCCAUGUACAGACAGGUGGAAAUGCAUAUGGAAUAACUUUCAUUUCUCCUCCCCAUUCUGAUUAAGAGACCAUGAAGGAAGUUGCAAGAGUAAACCCUCUACUGUGGUUUUCCUGACAAGUUGUUCUGCAGAGAAAAGACGCACCUGCUAUAUGAUCAAUGGGUUCUAGGUAGAUGGGUAGUAGCUGAAAAGAGCCUGCAGGAGAUCCUCCCAGCCAGCAGCCUUGAGAGCUGUGAGGGUGGCUGCUCUGCCAUCUCCCGCACCAUCCUUAUCUAGGCUUCCCCUGUCUCAGUAGUGGGGUAACAUCUGAGUGCUUUACUUAGAUGCUCUCACCCAUUAGACCGCCUUUCCUCUCCCUCUUCCCUUUACAUCCUUUCCCUCCAUCUUCUUCUCUGUCUUCCUCUACGAUCUCUUCCAAGACCCAUUCCUUGCUCUCUAUCAACCAAGAAAGACCCAUAUGAGACACUCUACCUCUAUUUCUAUGUUUUCUUCAAAUUAUAUUAGUGUACGUUAUUUUAAACUGUAACAUUUUAUUGUCAUAUAUGGGUCAAGUAUUGAUAUAGUUCAGAACUAUUUCCCCCUUUCAUUUACCACCAACAUUUAUGGUAAAUUUUGCUUUGAUUUUCUCAAAUUUGUUUUAAGCAUAGAAUUCUUGGAAUACUUCAUUCCAAAAAGGCUAAAUGUAGUUCCAAGAAAACUCAGCUUGCUUCUCAAAUUGGGCUUCAUAAUGCUUUUCCGGGUAAGAUAUAGACACACCUUCACAUGUAAUAAGGAUAGCAUGACAUUGGUAUAUCUGUGGUUAAAUGUCUUUGACUGGUGAAACUUUGGCAUUAUAUUUUAUCAUCCUUUGAAGCAACAUGCCUUGGGUUGGAAUGCAGUGUCACCUUAAGGAAAUAGACUGAAUAUAUUUGAAUGUUUAACUCAAGGCUGCACUCCAUCUUUCUCCGUUUGUAUAGAUGCCUUUGGGUUGGUGUCUACUUAGCGUGUAACAUACUCCUAUUUCUCAGGAAAGUAACGCAAUUUCCCUGACCCCCACCUUCAG
rnacentral:lncRNA from 1 species